ensembl:rRNA 5S_rRNA 5S ribosomal RNA
GCUUAUAGCCAUACCAGGAUCUACCAGAAAGGCACGCCCGAUCUCGUCUGAUCUCGGAAGCUAAGCAGGGUCGGGCCUGGUUAGUACUUGGAUGGGUGACCGCCUGGGAAUACCAGGUGCUGUAAGCA